CCUCCUUCCUCUGCCGUGAACCAAAACAAAAUCUCAUUCUCCAUCUUUUCUUUUCUACAUCAAAAUUCCUUCAAAUUUUCAUCUCCAAUCAAUUACCCAUCUUCUCCCAACACAUUUUCAAAGUAGAAUUUGAAGAAAAGAAGAGAAAUCAAAGAGAAAAUGCAAGAUUGAGGGAGAGUGAAUAGUAACCAAGGGUUUGAAAAUUUAAAGAAGAAGUGGAAGGGAAGAGUGGAAACUCUAAAGGAAAAGGAAAAGAAAAGGAAGAUUAGGAAAUUUUAAGCUUGUGGAAGAUUUUGGAAGGUUAAGGUUUGUGCUCAACUUUAUUUGAGUAAAUUUAAGAAUUUGUUAAUUAUAUUCUAUUUGAAAAUUUUACUACCCUAGUAGAAAUAGACCAAGUGAAUAAUAGUUUCAUUAUAUUGUAUAAUCCAAGUUUGAGAAAUAAUAGAUUGAAUAAAUAGAAAAUUUUAAAAUUCAUAUGUAAUUUAAACAAAAUUUAAGUGAUGGAUCUAAUGAAAUGACUCUAUUUUCUUUGAUAGAAAUAUAAUUUGGUUAGAUAUAGUGACAAUAAAAAAAUUUAGUAGAAAAAA